rnacentral:rRNA from 1 species
UACGUAGGGGGCUAGCGUUGUCCGGAUUUAUUGGGCGUAAAGAGCGUGUAGGCGGCCAGAUAGGUCUGCUGUGAAAACUCGAGGCUCAACCUCGAGAUGUCGGCGGAAACCAUUUGGCUAGAGUCCGGAAGAGGAAAGUGGAAUUCCUGGUGUAGCGGUGAAAUGCGCAGAUAUCAGGAAGAACACCCGUGGCGAAGGCGGCUUUCUGGGACGGUACUGACGCUGAGGAGCGAAAGCGUGGGGAGCAAACAGG